AUUGAACGCUGGCGGCAGGCCUAAUACAUGCAAGUCGAGCGGACGAAGGGGGCUCGCUCUUGGAUUCAGCUGCGGACGGGCGAGUAAUGACUAGGAAUAUGACCGGUAGUGGGGACUAACGUCAGGUAACGGGAGCUAAUACCGCAUCCGUCAUGAGGGAGAACGUGAUGGAUCUUUAGUCCUCAAGCUAUUUGAUGACCCUAGGUCGGAUUAGCUAGUUGGUGGGGUAAAGGCCUACCAAGGCGACGAUCCGUAACUGGUCUGAGAGGCUGACCGGUCACACUGGAACUGAGACACGGUCCAGACUCCUACGGGAGGCAGCAGUAGGGAAUAUUGGGCAAUGGGCGAAAGCCUGAUCCAGCCAUGCCGCGUGAGUGAAGAAGGUCUUCGGAUUGUAAAGCACUUUAAGUUGGGAAGAAGAAAAGUGAAUGUAUAUCUUGCUGUUUUGACGUUACCAACAGAGAAAGCAACGGCUAACUACGUG
rnacentral:rRNA from 1 species